rnacentral:lncRNA from 1 species
UGGCUCGGUUGCUUCUUACCGUCCUCGUUACACUCUUUCUUCUCAGGGGCAACCUAGUCGCCGGUGAUCAUUGCCGCCCCAGAUAUUGUAAGUACCCGCUUGAUCGAUUCGGUUCAAUUCCAGCGGUUCUCUUUUCUAAGUAUCGGCAGCUUUCUCUUCGAGCUUGUAACACUACGAUUAUUACACAUUCUUACCACUGUAUUAUUCUCUUCUCUAACAUUUUUUAUACGUUUUCCAGUAAAAGGCGCAGCCAGUCCAUCAGUUAAAGGCGUAGUCAGUCCAUCCGUUAAAGGCGCAGUUAGUCCACCUAGUCCACUUAACCCGGUACCCUGCCCAAUAAUGUACCCUACAUACAAAAAAGCUAAACCUAUGGGCGAGCUACAAAAGGGCUACGGACCUUUCCAUCCUUGAAUAAUCUGCCUCCCUGAAUUUCACUGGGUGGAGCCCGCUCCCUUCCAUUUUCCAAUCAAAAUUUCCCACAUCAGUUCAUGUGUAAGGUGCGUAAUAUUCCGUCCGUGGAUGUAGCGUUACUCCCCUCCAUAGCCUAAAGCAUCAUCUCAGCAGCGACAACAUGUGGAUAAGCUG